GUAGAAGGAAGGAAGAAGGUGAAUACGGGUCAGGAUAUGGUGGAAGAAAGGAGGAACCGGAAUAUGGAUCCGGGUAUGGUAGGAAAGAAGAGGGUGAAUACGGGUCAGGAUAUGGGUCCGGGUAUGGUGGGAGAAAGGAGGAGUCUGAAUAUGGAUCUGGGUAUGGUGGAAGAAAGGAAGAACCUGAAUAUGGAUCUGGGUAUGGUGGGAGAAAGGAGGAAUCUGAAUAUGGAUCCGGGUAUGGUGGGAGAAAGCAAGAAUCUGAAUAUGGAUCCGGGUAUGGUGGCAGGAAGGAGGAACCAGAAUAUGGAUCCGGAUAUGGUGGAAGGAAGGAGGAAUCUGAAUAUGGAUCAGGAUAUGGAGGAAGGAAGCAAGAAUCAGAAUAUGGAUCCGGGUAUGGUGGAAGAAAGGAGGAGAGUGAAUAUGGAUCCGGGUAUGGAGGGAGGAGUGAGUAUGAGGAGAAACCUAGCUAUGGGAGGAGCAACUAUGAGAGCCAAGGAGGAGGAGGAAGGGUUGAGUAUGGUUAU
rnacentral:lncRNA from 1 species